rnacentral:rRNA from 6 species
ACCCUUUAAUGUUUGAUGUUCUAACGUGGACCCGUUACCCGGGUUGCGGACAGUGUCUGGUGGGUAGUUUGACUGGGGCGGUCUCCUCCUAAAGAGUAACGGAGGAGCACGAAGGUUGGCUAAUCCUGGUCGGACAUCAGGAGGUUAGUGCAAUGGCAUAAGCCAGCUUGACUGCGAGCGUGACGGCGCGAGCAGGUGCGAAAGCAGGUCAUAGUGAUCCGGUGGUUCUGAAUGGAAGGGCCAUCGCUCAACGGAUAAAAGGUACUCCGGGGAUAACAGGCUGAUACCGCCCAAGAGUUCAUAUCGACGGCGGUGUUUGGCACCUCGAUGUCGGCUCAUCACAUCCUGGGGCUGAAGUAGGUCCCAAGGGUAUGGCUGUUCGCCAUUUAAAGUGGUACGCGAGCUGGGUUUAGAACGUCGUGAGACAGUUCGGUCCCUAUCUGCCGUGGGCGCUGGAGAACUGAGGGGGGCUGCUCCUAGUACGAGAGGACCGGAGUGGACGCAUCACUGGUGUUCGGGUUGUCAUGCCAAUGGCACUGCCCGGUAGCUAAAUGCGGAAGAGAUAAGUGCUGAAAGCAUCUAAGCACGAAACUUGCCCCGAG